CGAGCGGGAGCGAGCUUGGUGGGUGGGCUGGGGUUCGUUGGGCUUGCGGAGGUCGCUGGGUUGUCUCGAUUUGGUUGUGGCGGUCGAGAUGUUCUUCUCCCAGGUCGGGGCCCGGCCAAAGACGUGGGAAGCCAGCCGCUCGGAACACAAGAGAUGGGUGGAAGUAUUCAAAGUCUGUGAUGAAGAUAACAAAGGCUACCUAAGCAGAGAGGACUUUAAAGUUGCUAUUGUAAUGCUGUUCGGGUACAAGCCUUCCAAGAUAGAAGCCAAUGCCGUGAUGUCUUCAGUAAAUCCAAACACUUCUGGUAUAUCACUGGAAGAGUUUUUAAAUAUUGUCAGGAAAAAGAAGGAAGCUCAGGUAUAUUGGAAUGAAAUAAGACACAUCUUUACAGCUUUUGACAGAUACUAUCGUGGAUAUUUAACUUUGGAAGAUUUCCAGAAAGCGUUCAAGCAGGUGGCUCCCAGGUUACCAGAAAGGAGUGUUCUUGAGGUUUUCCGUAGCUUUUCCUCCUGUUCAGAAGAAAACCAAGCCAGUGCUACCUUAGCAUCUACCUGCAGGCGCGGCCAGUGCCUCUUCCUCCGGCCCCCGUUCCCCGGGGGUGUGGACAGAGCUGACGGGGCCUGAUGGUGACGGCCACUGCUCUCAUGGCUUCGUCAGCUCUGCUGUUUCUCUUGUGGAGGUGGGGCUGCAGUGGAC